rnacentral:lncRNA from 1 species
CUUGAGUCCUUUAAAUAUGUCUCCGUUACAUAAAUUGGUCCCUUCCGUUAAUUUUAUUAAAAAAAUGUUAACUCAAGCACACGUGUCAUUUUCGCAUUGGUUGGAAUUUAUAUUCAUCUUCUUCCUCCUCACCUUCAUCUUCUUCAACAAAUCUUCAUAAAACCUUCAUAUAAAUCCAGAAGAUUUUUUUUUUUUUUUUUACCUUUAUCAUAUGAAAUCCAAAUCUAAACACUUU